rnacentral:misc_RNA from 1 species
UUAAGUUCAGCGGGUAUCCCUACCUGAUCCGAGGUCAAACCAUAAAAAAUUAGGGGUUAUUGGCAAGCAUCCACCGGAACUCUGUAGCGAGAAGAAUUACUACGCUUAGAGCCAGAUGGCGCCGCCACUGAUUUUAAGGGCUACCCAAAGGUAGGCCCCAACACCAAGCUAGGCUUGAGGGUUAUAAUGACGCUCGAACA